UACGUAGGGUGCGAGCGUUAAUCGGAAUUACUGGGCGUAAAGCGUGCGCAGGCGGUGAUGUAAGACAGUUGUGAAAUCCCCGGGCUCAACCUGGGAACUGCAUCUGUGACUGCAUCGCUGGAGUGCGGCAGAGGGGGAUGGAAUUCCGCGUGUAGCAGUGAAAUGCGUAGAGAUCGGGAGGAACAUCAGUGGCGAAGGCGGCCUUCUGGACCAGUACUGACGCUGAGGCACGAAAGCGUGGGGAGCAAACAGG
rnacentral:rRNA from 1 species